UCCCUCUGCCCUACGGAGCGAUCAGGUAUAAAAUGGAAUUUCUUUGCACCAAGCCAGAAUGAAUACAUUGAAGGAAUUAUCAGAAAAGAACAAUACAUAGG